rnacentral:rRNA from 2 species
UUCGCAAUGCCCGAAAGGGUGACGAAGCGACGCCGCGUGCGGGAAGAAGGCCUUCGGGUUGUAAACCGCUGUCGGGAGUUAAGAAAUGUAAGGAUGUUAAUAGCAUCUUUGCUUGACUAAGGCUCCGGAGGAAGCCACGGCUAACUCUGUGCCAGCAGCCGCGGUAAUACAGAGGCGGCAAGCGUUGUUCGGAAUUAUUGGGCGUAAAGAGCACGUAGGCGGCUAUGUAAGUCAGUUGUGAAAGCCUUCCGCUCAACGGGAGAACAGCAUCCGAUACUGCAUGGCUUGAGUGCGGGAGGGGAGAGUGGAACUUCUGGUGGAGCGGUGAAAUGCGUAGAUAUCAGAAGGAACGCCGGCGGCGAAAGCGGCUCUCUGGCCCAUAACUGACGCUGAGUGUGCGAAAGCUAGGGGAGCAAACGGGAUUAGAUACCCCGGUAGUCCUAGCCGUAAACGAUGGGCACUAAGUAGAGGGGUUUU